rnacentral:rRNA from 1 species
AGUGAACGCUGGCGGCGUGCCUAAUACAUGAUAGUCGAACGAAGUGGCGCACGGGUGAGUAAUAUAUAGUUAAUCUGCCCUACACAGAGGAACAACAGAUGGAAACGACUGCUAAUACCACAUAGUGUAGGAUGAGACUAUAUCGUAUCAGCUAGUUGGUAAGGUAAUGGCUUAUCAAGGCUAUGACGCGUAACUGGUCUGAGAGGAUGAUCAGUCACAUUCGCAAUGAGACACGGUCCAAACUCCUACGGGAGGCAGCAGUAAGGAAUAAUGCUCAAUGGGAGAAACCCUGACGCAGCAACGACGCGUGGAGGAUGACACUUUUCUGAGCGUAAACUCCUUUUAUCAGGAAAGCGGUACCUGAUGAAUAAGCACCGGCUAGCUCCGUGCCAGAAGCCGGGGUAAUUC